UUGUAUGUAUGUUUUCAAGGUUGACCAUUUAGUAUCGAGUGACCAGUUGGUGUGUUCUUCCCUGGAGAACACUAUUUCUCCAGUUUUCAUCACCCCUAGUUGCCUGUAGAUCUUUAUCUGAUGUUGAGAGCUCAUGGCCUUUCCCCCUUUCACACUGACAUAUCUGUUAAGUCUGGCUCAACAAGUGAGAAAUGAAGGCUGGUACUGGAUACCUAGCCAGCUACCUGGAGCUAGUGGAGCUAUGUUGGAAAAGAACCUACAACCACCAUUUACUAAACCAGUGUAAUUCCUGAGUACACUCUUAAAUAUUUAUCCUCACACCCCCAGAUAAGUGUUGUUCUUAACCCGCAUCAAGGAAAUGUCUCUUUGUAACAGACAGAGACUGGUACAGACAAGCCCGGCUCAUCACAACAGAGCUGUGAAGCCCAGGCCCAAUCCGUAAGUCUACAAAACAUUUCUGGACCUAAGGCUCAGGUAACAUUGUAGAAAAGAUUGUACAAGCCGGAGGAUCACGGACUUUGCUGUGAGACUGUAUCUCCUAAAAACGUCAGAGAAGCUACACCCAUGAACUCUCCCCAGUAUGGCUGCCGAAGUGUGCACGACCAAGGAUGACACCAACAGAUGUUACCCGGGUGACUUCUAGGAAUCAUGAGGCACGCUAAACCCGCUCUGCCAGGAGUCCCUACAGAAAACCCACAGGAUCCAGCUUCUGUAUCCAGGAAGAGGGCAUCGCCCCUUCUGCCUGUGGGAGUAUGGGAGCACUCAGAGGAAAAUCCCUUUGCAGAUGUGUGCAUGAUGGUCCUUCGAGGCAGGUGAUUGUAUUUCCUAUCCACUCUGAAGUUAGAAAUGACCUGGAGACUUCCUCUACCCAAUAAAAAAAGGAGUGUGGCUUACGUUUAUGACCUCAUAAGCCAGUGAGCAAAAAGCUUUGGCCAACAUGGCCGCCCAGACACAAAGCUUUAUCCUCCCUGGCCUCAGAGGAAGCAUGACACAUUCGGGUCACUGGAGGAGAACACAAGGAAAUGUGAGAAAGGAACUUCUGUGGGCUUUGGCCAGAGACUGGGGGAUGGCAGUGUUUCUUGUUACUGCAACAUGGCUGAGCACAUCUUGUAGUCACGGCAAGCAGCCUACUUCGAAAGUUUUGCUCUACUCCAGCCUGUGUAGCUCAGGCUGGCCUCAAGCCUGCAGCAAACAUCCUGCUUCAGCCUCCCGAGGGCUGGGGUCAUGGGUGAGUGUUACCCUGUCAGAGCUUCUAAUAGUUACUUUGAAAUAAAAGGACUUGAAACAA